GGAGUUAGCCGGUGCUUCUUCUGUGAGUGAUGUCCUUCCUGCCGGCUAUUAACCCGCAGGCCUUCUUCCUCACUGAAAGUGCUUUACAACCCGAAGGCCUUCUUCACACACGCGGCAUGGCUGGAUCAGGGUUGCCCCCAUUGUCCAAUAUUCCCCACUGCUGCCUCCCGUAGGAGUCUGGGCCGUGUCUCAGUCCCAGUGUGGCUGAUCAUCCUCUCAGACCAGCUACGGAUCGUCGCCUUGGUGAGCCGUUACCUCACCAACCAGCUAAUCCGACAUAGGCUCAUCCGAUAGCGCGAGGCCCGAAGGUCCCCCGNUUUCCCCCGUAGGGCGUAUGCGGUAUUAGCCUGGGUUUCCCCCAGGUUAUCCCCCGACUACCGGGCAGAUUCCUAUGCAUUACUCACCCGUCCGCCGCUCGCCACCAGGAGCAAGCUCCCCGUGCUGCCGCUCGACUUGCANGUGUAGCGUCGCGCAGCGUCAUCUGAGCAGACUACGACCGUACGACUGACGCGGCGUCGCGACGCGC
rnacentral:rRNA from 1 species